CCCUUAGAUGUUCGGGGCCGCACGCGCGCUACACUGAAAGAAUCAGCUGGUAAGUUGCUCCUGGCUUGGAAACGUCGGGCAACCCGUUGAACCUCCUUCGUGCUUGGGAUUGGGGCUUGCAAUUAUUCCCCAUGAACGAGGAAUUCCCAGUAGGCGCGAGUCAUCAGCUCGCGUCGAUUACGUCCCUGCCCUUUGUACACACCGCCCGUCGCUACUACCGAUCGGAUGGUUUAGUGAGACCCUCGGACUGGUCCGCUGUCGGACAGGCAACUGUUUGCAGCGCGUGCGCCGGGAAGAAGGUCGAACUUGACUAUCUAGAGGAAGUAAAAGUCGUAACA
rnacentral:rRNA from 1 species